UUGGCCACGACUUAGGUUUUAUGUUGUUUC
rnacentral:piRNA from 1 species